GACGAACGCUGGCGGCGUGCUUAACACAUGCAAGUCGAACGAUGAACCGGUUUCGGCCGGGGAUUAGUGGCGAACGGGUGAGUAACACGUGGGCAAUCUGCCCUGCGCUCUGGGAUAAGCCCGGGAAACUGGGUCUAAUACCGGAUACGACACUCCGAGGCAUCUUGGGGUGUGGAAAGUUCCGGCGGGGCAGGAUGAGCCCGCGGCCUAUCAGCUUGUUGGUGGGGUAAUGGCCUACCAAGGCGACGACGGGUAGCCGGCCUGAGAGGGUGACCGGCCACACUGGGACUGAGACACGGCCCAGACUCCUACGGGAGGCAGCAGUGGGGAAUAUUGCACAAUGGGCGAAAGCCUGAUGCAGCGACGCCGCGUGAGGGAUGACGGCCUUCGGGUUGUAAACCUCUUUCAGCAGGGAAGAAGCGAAAGUGACGGUACCUGCAGAAGAAGCACCGGCUAACUACGUG
rnacentral:rRNA from 1 species